UACAGAGGGGGCAAGCGUUGUUCGGAAUUACUGGGCGUAAAGGGCGCGUAGGCGGCCUUCUAAGUCAUGCGUGAAAUCCCCGGGCUCAACCCGGGAACUGCGUCUGAUACUGGAAGGCUUGAAUCCGGGAGAGGGAUGUGGAAUUCCAGGUGUAGCGGUGAAAUGCGUAGAUAUCUGGAGGAACACCGGUGGCGAAGGCGGCAUCCUGGACCGGUAUUGACGCUGAGGCGCGAAAGCUAGGGGAGCAAACGGG
rnacentral:rRNA from 1 species